rnacentral:rRNA from 1 species
CCUACGGGGUGCAGCAGUGCGGAAUAUUGGUCCAUGGGCGCGAGCCUGAACCAGCCAAGUAGCGUGAAGGAUGACUGCCCUACGGGUUGUACACUUCUUUUAUAAAGGAAUAAAGUGAGGCACGUGUGCCUGUUCGUAUGUACUCUAUGAACAAGGAUCUGCUAACUCCGUACCCGCAGCCGCGGUAAUACGGAGGAUACGAGCGUUAUCCGGAUUUAUUGGGUUUAAAGGGAGCGUAGACGGGUGGUUAAGUCAGUUGUGAAAGUUUGCGGCUCAACCGUAAAAUUGCAAUUGAUACUGGCAGUCUUGAGUACAGUAGAGGUAGGCGGAAUGCGUGGUGUAGCGGUGAAAUGCUUAGAUAUCACGAAGAACUCCGAUUGCGAAGGCAGCUUACUAAACUGCCACUGACAUUGAUGCUCGAAAGUGUGGGUAUCAAACAGGAUUAGAUACCCGAGUAGUC